GUAAUCGGACUUAAGUUAUAGUCCACGUGCGAUUAUAGUCCAUUAUUCGCGAGUGUUUUUCGCGAGUGUCCAGUGCGAGAGGAUGUGUCAACCCCAACUCUGAGAGGAGGAGGAGAUCUGAGAGAGACAUCGGGCACCAGUGGAGAAACUUUGCGACCACGAUGAACCCAUGCGAUAAUAGGAGAAGGCGUCCAUUCGACAAUAUCUUCUUGCGAGGCGCUCGUACACCUGGAGCACCGCGCCGAAUUGGUGGUCCCACGCUGUAAAGUGAGCAGAACGGAUGAGGCAGACGGAUGAGGAAAUUCGGACUACGAGAACUUGGAGAACUUCUAGGCACGGAAUGGCCCUAUAAAUAAUCGACACGUUCCUGGGAGCAGCUUAGGAUGGAGGGGAGAACAACCUUGCAAGCCCUCAAACUCCGUCGUGCGUGCGUAGCUUCAGCGAUGGUGGUGGGGUCUGAAUUUUUGGAGGUUGGUAGAAUGGCCGAGAGUACGAAGGGGGUUGAAGAGAAUGAUAAAGGGAUCGAGGGGAAAAGAGGAGAUAUCGGCGCAAGAGGGGAAACGCGGAAUGGCGGCAGGAAACGGGAGGAGGAGGAGGGGGAGGGGAAAGUGAAGGAGGAGAAGAAGGAGGAGGAGGAGGAUGAGAAAGAGGUAGGGGAGGAAAGAGCGAUCAAGGGGAAGAGCCAAGCAACCUGCACCCGGCAACAGCCCCCGACCUCGGAAGAACUAAUCAUUAACCUCCUUUCACCCUCUCCGAAUGCUACCGUUCUAACUCGACCACCUUCGCUUCACUUUCACCUGUGCCUCUCUCUCGCCUACCACCCUCUUUCGCGCCCCUUCGGCCGCCCUCUUCACUCUCACUUGUCCUUCCAUCCUCGCACCCUUCCCUUUCCCUUUCGUCCGGAGUUUCCCUCCAUUUUCCCUCUUCUCACUUCUCUUCCCUUCUUCUUCGCCCACGCUGCGCCGGGUUGUGUGUUUACGAUUACGAUUACUCGCGCUCUCACUUUCGCCGCUUUCCCUUCUCGCUUUCGAUCUCACCCCGUCCUAUCGACCUCCAAACCUUGUCGCUACUUUUGGUCUACCUAAACCCGUACAACGCGAUGCACGAAACAUAGCUACGCUUAAAGACGAGGGUCUCCUUUCGACUGGCGACGAUUGCGGGAAAAAGACAACUGGGCGUUAUUUGCAGCGCUAUUCAAUUUUCUCGAGAGGAAUAUCAUUUAUUGCGUAAUAUCGAGAGACAGUAGAUCUCAUGACGGCCAGCUCUUUCUCUGACAAAGACAAAGGGGAUGUUCGAUCUCUGUCGUCACAGCUGAAGACGAAGACCAGGGCGUAUGAUUUACUGGAGGAGAAAUUUCAAGACUAGUCUCAGCUUUUGCCCUCAACGAUGAAUAAUUCACUUCCUCGACAUUCAAACUUUACUUCGGUAUGAAAAAUGCAGCACUAUUGCGUAACCAAUAUUUUAAUGUAUACAAAUAAAAGUUGCAAACGAUCAAAAAUA